rnacentral:rRNA from 1 species
UGAGGAAUAUUGGUCAAUGGGCGAGAGCCUGAACCAGCCAAGUAGCGUGCAGGAUGACGGCCCUAUGGGUUGUAAACUGCUUUUAUAUGGGAAUAAAGUGAGGGACGUGUCCCUUAUUGCAUGUACCAUACGAAUAAGGACCGGCUAAUUCCGUGCCAGCAGCCGCGGUAAUACGGAAGGUCCAGGCGUUAUCCGGAUUUAUUGGGUUUAAAGGGAGCGUAGGCUGUUUGUUAAGCGUGUUGUGAAAUGUAAGAGCUCAACUUUUAGAUUGCAGCGCGAACUGGCAGACUUGAGUACGCGCAACGUUGGCGGAAUUCGUCGUGUAGCGGUGAAAUGCUUAGAUAUGACGAGGAACUCCGAUUGCGAAGGCAGCUGACGGGAGCGGCACUGACGCUUAAGCUCGAAGGUGCGGGUAUCAAACAGG